ensembl:processed_transcript Gm14817 predicted gene 14817
GGCUCUCAGGAAGAGGCUCCACAAGAAGUGGAGUGCUGCGGCAGCUCUCCCCAGUGUUGUAAGCGCUGGUGCUAUCUUUGUCUGAUUUCUCUGGCAGUUCAGAGAUAUCAGACAGCUCAUGCUUUUUGGGCUCACUGGCUGCCAGGUCAUAGAGACUCUCCUCCUCCAGCAGCCAGGCCUUCAUACAGCGCUCCCGCAACUGCUGCAUCUUCUGUGCCCGCAAGAUAUUGCGGCACUUGAACUCUAGGUGCCGAAGCUCUUCCUCCAGCAUGGCCAUCUCAUGGCCUAGGCUCUCAUUGCGGUUGACAUCUAGGGCACUAUUGCCACUGGAGGCCCGGGAGAAGAAGAUGCCCAGCUGGUUGCCAUUUUCCAGGUGGCACUUGAUCUCCAGCAGCUCCCGGUAGCGUUCAUACUCCUCAUCAGUGAGCCCAGCUGCAUGAAAGUAUUGGUGGAAUCCAGAAGAAGGUAUUGGAUUCUCUGGAGUUAGAGGUGGUUGUGAGACAUCUAUGUGAUUUCUGGGAACUGAACUCGGGUCCUUUGAAAAAGCAGUAAGAAUCAUCCUUCUAGAACACUUCCCAUAUACAUACUCCCUUUUAAAACAGUCUCAGUAUAUAGCUCUAAUUAACCUCAAGCUCAC